rnacentral:rRNA from 1 species
GAUCAUGGCUCAGAGCGAACGUUAGCGGCGGGCCUAACACAUGCAAGUCGAACGCGAAAGGUCUUCGGACUGAGUAGAGUGGCGCACGGGUGAGUAACACGUAGGUAAUCUACCCUUUGGCGGGGGAUAACGUUCCGAAAGGAGCGCUAAUACCGCAUAAGACCACGGAGUCUCCGGACGCUGUGGGAAAAGGUGGCCUCUUCUUGAAAGCUACCACCGAAGGAUGAGCCUGCGUCCCAUCAGCUAGUUAGUAAGGUAAUGGCUUACCAAGGCGAAGACGGGUAGCUGGUUUGAGAGAAUGAUCAGCCACACUGGCACUGGAACACGGGCCAGACUCCUACGGGAGGUAGCAGUGAGGAAUAUUGGGCAAUGGGCGAAAGCCUGACCCAGCCACGCCGCGUGAGUGAUGAAGGCCCUCGGGUCGUAAAGCUCUGUGGAGAGGGACGAAAACCCUGGUUUCAAAUAGGCUCCAGGCUUGACGGUACCUCUUUAGCAAGCACCGGCUAACUCUGUG